rnacentral:lncRNA from 1 species
UUUAUUUAUUUCUUUCUUCAGUAAAUGAAAUCCAGUAAUUAUUUAUGCUUUGAAUUCUGCUUAGUCUCUUAUUAUAUUUAAUUUAUGUAUGUUAUUAUUUUAUUCUAAGUUUGUUUAUGCGCUUCGCGUGAGUAAAACCGCGAUGAGAAUUAUUGAGUAAACCAAUAAUUAUUCAAUUCAUAUUCAUAACUGACUUAGCUAAGUCAUGUAUUUAUUAAUUACAAAGUAUUAUUUUCUAUCGAUUAUUAUUAUUACUUGAGUCGGGAUUUUUUUUUUUAUCUUCGGAAGCAAAUUACAUCUACAUUUUUAAUUCAGAUUUUUUUAAAUGAGACGCAUGAUAUUAGCAAGACCAGAGAUCGAUAUUCAAGAUACGUGAUUAAUGGGAAUAAUCAAUGUUUGAUUGCAAACAUGCAAUUUUAUUAGCAAAACUCGAGAUUAGUAUUACAGAUACAUAAGAUAUAGAUUUACCGAAGACUGAAGGAUUUUCUUCACUUUACUCCUACCAUAUAGCUAGUACACGCAGCAAUAAAGAAAAGAAAAAGGGGAAGGGAAAGAGAAAGGUGCGUGUGUGAACAUAGAAUAAAAUAGCUGCAACAACAGUAGUUUUGAUAACACUCAUGUCCCAUCCUUUCCCCUUUCCCCUGUAGCUUGCGGCGCUUGCGGCUGGAGCAGUAAGGGAUCUUUCAACCACCCUCUAUCAGCCACCCUACGACAGCCUAUCUACCCCUUUAUACUACACCCAACAAUCCCUUCAAAUUUCCUUAGUGCACAAGAAUUUGAAGAAAGAGAGAGAGAGAGCAGAAGAACUUGCUGCUGCUACCAGACUUCAAGCUUUGGCUUCAACUCCCCAUUCCAUUCUUAAUCAACCUGCAUUUAUUAAGAUGAACCCACAAUUCUUUUCAGUUUCUUCCCCAAUGAAUUCAACAGCAAAACAGACGGCCAAACACCAAACAAUUGCAAGGUAAAUACUAAGCUUCCUUAUUUCAAAUCCAGUUCACAUAUCAUCCAUCAAACACACUUUGGAUAAAGAAUACAGAGUAGAAGAUGAGUAUAUUUUGCAUAAUGGGCUUAGAAUCACGAAAUCAGUAAGAACUCUUAUGAUAUAGAAACAACUACAUGCUUAGUUUAAUCUCUUGCUAAUCGAAAAUAGGAAACAAGAUGAUUUAUGGGCUACACCAACUGGAAUAACACUAGAAAUCAAAUUGAUGGAUUUCGUUUAGAACACCUUAAACCUGUGUGAGUGAGAGACUUGAAAUCGGACGGAGGAUGGCUGCCCCGACCCCGUCGAGACAGAGGAAUGCCGACAAAGGCGAGUCUUCGGGUGAGACAGGCGGCGGUUUGCGAACCACGACGAUAAGAAAUGACGCGUCGGACCCGUGCAUAGGACGGCGGUCCCAGCGGCGAUUUGAGAAAGGAAGGAGUUAGGGCUCGGUUCCUGAUUUCGAUUGAGCAUGCUUGAGUCUGACUUGAGUAGAGAGAGGGCAGGACCGUUGAACUUGGCCGGAUUAUCAGGAGCUGCGGCGGCGGCUGGAACAGUCAAGAGGCGCAGCUUCGCCGGUCCUUCAGAUAGAAGAGCAGACUUAGAACGAUGACCUCUCGUCGGGCCUCCAGUAACAGAGGCGACGGCGGCGGGUUUUAAUGGUGGAAACUAGGGCUCGGAUUGAAGAAUUGAGAAAUUGAAUUAAGAAGUGGAGGAGAGAAGGAGAGGGUAAGGACGAAAGAAAAAGGGAAGGCGGACGCCGGGGAGUGAGGACGCCGACUCGCCGGCGGCGCGGACUUCAGAGGCGGCGCUAAUUGUAUUAAGAGAGAAGGCUAUUUCAGCCGUGACAUUGAGAGAGAGAGAGACGGACUUUGAGGAUGAAACGAGAGAGGAGAGAGAGACCGAAAAAGAAGAAAAGAAAAUAAGGAUGGGCUAGAUACUUGGGCCGAAUUCAUGGGCUGGAGUUAAUAGGUGGGCCGACUUAUUUCCUAUUGUGAGCCCAAGUAUUUAUUUAGUAAAAUGGGUUGUAUUUGUGGGCUGAUUUAUUUAAUAAUUGGGGCUUUCACAAUUUAUUUUAGUUCAAUAAAAGACAAGUCUAGAUUAAGUGAUUAAUUAGUUUUUAACUAUUUUUUUUAUUUAUGGAUUUAAUUUAACACGAAGUUAUGAGAUUAGUCAGCGAUUAGUACCUUAAGGUGAGUGGAUUGAUUAAGAUUAAUUAUCCGAUCUAAUAAGACGAACUUUAAUCCUAUAGUUGGAUUAUGAAUAUGAGUCAUGCAUAGUUAAAUUACGCAUUCUCAUUUAUUUGAGAAUUUUCCUCGAGUUAAAUUCUUACUUUAUAUUCUCGGAUUAAAGGUCAAGCACAAGAGUACGAGCUAGUCAAGGAUUCUUUGCUAUCAGGUGGGCAUUACUUUUACUAUACGUAUAUAGAGAUCCCUGCUGUCGUAGGCCUCUUAUAGAAUGAAUGCAUGAGAUGAUUUAACUGUUAAUUUCAGUUUUAUAUAUCUAUCAAACGAGUUUAAUGCUACCUUUGAACAAGUUAUUUCUACAAACUUUGAAUAAUAUUCAAUUUGUCUUGCCAUAAAAUGUUUAAAUUUUAGUAUGAUAUCUAUCUGCUUUGGCUUUGCCAAUGAUGAAAUCGAAUUCGGGUCCUGAGCAGUUGAUAGCUAUCCUGCCAGGGCUAGUGUACACCAGUGACCGUGAGUCAUCUAGCGGGUUGGCCGGUCAAGUGACCGUGAGAGGUGGCCACCUCUCCGGCACACAGUUCCAGAUAUGAUAGAUUACAAGAGAACUUAGACUGCAGUCGAACUUUAAGAAUCACAAAUGAAUUUAGUAAGCUUGGGCCUUUUAGCUAAAACUCCCUUGCUGUACUGUUUAUGAUGGCAUGACAAUUUACAGUUUCACGAAGCAUGUUUAUGUUUAUACUUAGGCAUACGUGCCCACUGAGUACUCUCGUACUCAGCCCUGCAUAUUUUUAAAUGUGAGGUUGAGCAGUGGUUGAUGGAUGAGUGAUGGCGGCUUUUGUCAUAGUUAAUAAUAUCUGUAUACAUUCUUCUACAUGUAUAGUUAUCAUUGCUCGUAUCAAGUUAUGUUUUUGGUAAGUGGAUAUCCGAACUUACAGCUUAUUUGAGUCUCUAGAUAAACCUCCAUUAUUUAUAAAGUCUCUCUUUUCCUUCUUAACAAUAGUAAUGAUCCUUCCUAUUUGAUUACUCACCCCUUUCUCCCCGUUCUAAUCUCCCUCCUUAGUCACGAUUUCCCGCUUAAUUAUCCUUAAUUAGCCGGUCGUGACAUUUGCUUUGUUGGCAUUCCGAUGAGUCGACAUAUGGUCACCAAUGUAAUACACAUAUGCAUAUCGUCGAUUCUAUAAAUCAUUUUCUUGAUUCUCAAAUCUCGCUCAUACUCUAUCUCAUGAAAGUAUAUAAAUAACAUAGCAGAAGUGACUUGCCGCAAAAGACUGAUAGGGUCGCUACAUAGACAUGGGAAAUUAGUAUCAAUGAGGACUAUUUCAUCAACAUUUGAAUAUAGAUAUGGUGAUCUAUCCAAGCAUUAUACAUGAUGAACUGGCUAUCUUGCAAAUUCAUCAUGAAAGAGCUCAGUUCCAAAAUGCCCUAUUAACCAGCGUUUCCGUACUAAUACUAGUCAAAAUAACUAUGCCAACAUAGGGGCAUACAAAAGCAUCGAAAUGAUCAUCGUUUUCGAAAUACACAAAUAACGUCUUACUAAAUGCACAAGAGAUUGUCUGUAUGCAUUACGUGCUUGACCCUUGGGUUGAAGCAUACGUGUUUGACUGAUUUAAUCUGAUGAGUAUCUGUUUAUCCUUGGGUCACAGAAAAUCUACCAACAGCUAGUAGAACGCAAUGAUUCAAAUCACAAAUGGCAAUUAGGCAAAGUGUUUCAAUAAUUUGCCAAACAAUUGAAAAUGAAUAACCAUAGGGUAUAAAUGAAUUGACUGAAAGGUCGAAGCAAAAUGACCUAAUAGUCUGAACCCGUUUGGCUUUUCAGAUGAAGGUUUAAAAUAUAUAGGUUUAAAGACCCAUAUAUGACGACUACUGAGAUUUUGGCCAUGUGGACUGGCCAGGUCCGACACAACUACUUCUCAGUCACUCGGAAAUACUUUUCCGAACUUGGUAACUCUUGUUCAUUGGCUGCAAAAGGUAUAUUUGGUCUAAAAUCACCACUUUCUUCUUAACAUCUUGAACAUGUCCUUGAGAAUAUUCUAGAGCUUCUCAAACUUGGAGUCUGCCUCCUAGUUUAAUGUAAUCCUUAAACAUCUUCUAUAGGCGAAAUAAGGUAGGCUCGACCUUACUCAACAAUGUUCCUCUACAUGAUCUUAAUGUAGUACUUCUAGUACUUAGUGUUCCUUCACAUAGCGCUUGAAAUGCAACCAUAUAAUUUGAAGCACUCUUCCGUGUUAUUGUAAAAGACCUUCUGAAUCAUCACGCAUUCAUAAGGAAAUAGCUUUUGCUCCUCUGAGCAUCUUUGCAGGGUAUGUGUCACCAUACGUAAUGCUAAGUCAUGGAAUGACCUUAGUCAAUGCUCUCAUUCCGGCUACUAAACUAAAUGCCUAAUCCAAGACGUUCUAACUGAGGCGAUGUCCUUGAUAGGUUAAGGUAUGUAUACUUAUCUUGAGUAUAUCCUUAGGGUCUCAUUAGAAUCUUAAUUCAUUUGUUUCAGCAUCGAUCCACUGUCGGCGCUUCUAGCUAUUAUUAAACUCUGAACCAUCUUCGAGAACUUCUCUCGUCCUACACACUUGCGUAAACUUUUAUGAUCAAUCAUAAUGGUUGGUAACUGCUAGUACCCAUAUCACAUCUCGUCUUUCCAAUUCGCAGUAGGUGAUCGUAAUCAAUAAGGAUUCUCAGUCAUGUCCUCAUCUAAUACAAUAGGUACUGUAAGCAGAAUGGUUCCGAAUAUCUGAAACUAUAAGUUGAUAGCUUUAAUCAAAUUAUUAACAUCAUAUACAAAGCAUUUUGACCCCUCGUAAGUCCAACUCUGAAGUUCAUUGAUGAAUCAUGAAAGUUAUCCUCAAGCCAUAACUAGUGAUAAUCGAGGCUAGAAGCGAGUCUCAGCUUAUUAGGGAUUAGCUAACUGAUUACAUAAGUCGCACUCAUCGCUAUAAGCAAUAUCAUACUUAAACUAUCAUCGAAUAAGGCAAUAGUCGAUUAGGUGUUCCGUCUCGCGUGAACAACCUGAAUGAAGAACUAUGCCUGCGUCAGUGAUUCGUACGUGGCACUCCGCUUGCACCACUUUCAUUGGAUUCUCUUUCGCUUUCUUGGCACUUCACCAUGGCUAUAGUGAAAUAUAACUGAGCUUCUAGCUUCUAUUGUUCUUCUCGUAACAGUGAUCAUGCAUUCUUAACGCAUCUAAGUUCAUUGAGUGAUCUUCUUAAUAAAAGACAUAAAUAGGAUAUUAAACACUUGCGCAUUCAUAUAAAACAUGAACUUCUCAAUAAAAGACAUAAACAAGAUAUUAAGCACUUGCGCAUUCGCGCGAAAUAUAAAGCUUUCGACUUUUGAAAACCUUUUGCUGUCCUUCCUCCUGGUUGAGCAUGGCGAUGUGAUGAAGUGUUGAGCUUUGGUUGACUGACUCAUAUAUACUAGUGAUCAUACUAGAAAAAUGGGUUAACUCUAGGGUUCAGAGCAAAUGAACUGCUCUGAUACCACUCUGUCACGACCGGCCCUAAUUAAGGAUAAUUAAGCCGGGGAAACCGUGACUAAGGGAGGGAGAUUAGGAGCGGGGUAGAAGGGGGAUAAUUAAACAAGGAAGGAUCGUAUUUAAUCAUUGUUAUCAAAAGGAAUAUUUACAAUAUAACGGAGGUUUCGUCAUAUUGACUCGAAUAAACUAGUAAGUUCAGAUAACUCCGACUUAGCCAAAAUAACAUAAAACUUCUGAGUACGCAGCGGAAUAAGGUUCUGAUUACAUGUAUGAAGACAUGUAUCCCCAGAGUUCAUUAAUACAUACUUCAUCACCACCAGCAGCUGCUCAACCUGCACAUUUAGAAAUAUAUGCAGGGCUGAGUACAAAAGUACUCAGUGGGCACGUAUGCCUAAGUAUAAAAAUACAUGCUUCAAAACUGUAAAUUGUCAUGCCAUCAUAAACAGUACAGCAAGGGAGUUUUUCGCUAAAAAGGCCCAAGCUUACUAAAUUCAUUUGUGAUUCUUAAAGUUCGACUGCAGUCUAAGUUCUCAUAAUCUAUCAUAUCUGAAGCUGUGUGCCGGAGAGGUGGCCACCUCUCACGGUCACUUGACCGGCCAACCCGCUAGAUGGCUCACGGUCACUAAUGUACACUAGCCCUGGCAGGAUAGCUAUCAACUGCUCAGGACCCAAAUUCGAUUACAUAACUUGGCAAAGCCACAACAGAUUGAUAUCAUACUAAAAUUGAAACAUUUUAUGGCAAGACAACUUGUUCAAUUGUAAUAUGAAACUCAUUUGAUAUAUAUAUGAAAGUAAUGCCCAAAUGCUGGCAACUCUUGUUGUGGUGCAGUAGCUCUUGCCUAGUUAUUACUCUCGCGCUUGACUUUAAUUGCGAGAAUUUAAAUAAGGUACUUGCUUGAGCAAAAUUCUCAAAUAAUGAGAAUGCGAAAUUAAACAUGCAUGACUCUCUUAUGCAUGAUUUAUUAAUCUAAGAUAAUAAUCGGGGAAGUUCUAUUGUUAAUCCUUGCUAUCGGAUACAAAAAAAUAAACCAUCUAGGUCUCGUCUCAUGAGGUCAAUUAAUUACUAUAAUAAUCUGCUUAUUCUAAUCUGCUUGACAAAAGUAAAUAGGUCUCGCUCUAUUUAAUCGAUUAGGAGAAGAUAGCUAAAUCGCUUUAGUAACCUCACAAGAAUUAAUCGUAGUUAAGAAUGACAAGUCUAACUAUCCAAUUAAUAAGGAUUGAUCACGAGUCAAGCUUAUCUAUAUAUUAUAUUAAAGACCAGUUAAACGGUCAUUUUUCCCGCCACCUACCUCUCCAAAUUUUAAAUUUUAAAUUUUCAAAUUAAUAUGUGUCAUUUUUUCGAAAAUAACUGUCUUAAUAUCAUAAAUACAAUUAUUUAAUCAUAACCCAUUCAAUGUAUCCGAGUUAUUUAAUUAACUCCCACUAACUCCCAACCAUAACUGUCUGAAUCAACAAAUUUUAAAACAAAAUAAAUAAUUUACACAAUUUACAAAUCUAUUACAGUUAUUUAGUUAAAUCCUAUCCAUAACUGCAGCAGUUACUCCAUAAUUUUAUAAAACAAAAUAAAUAAUUUACACCAUCUAUAAAUAUAACCUCACAAACUAUCACAAUACGAAUUCCACCUAUCACAAUACGAAUUCCAUAGCCAAAAAAUCGAUCUCCACAAAAAUCAUUCUCAUUUUUUCAUUUUACGUUGAAAUGGCUCCUUUGUUCGGCGUCAUCAAGGAAUUGGAACCGGGAAAGAGCAAGAUCGCAUUGCAAUUGCGCUUGAUAAGAAGUUAUGACAUCUUCAAGUUCAACAACAGAUCUGAAACAUUUUCUCAUGAGUGUGUGUUCCAUGAUAAAGAGGUACUCACUCAAUACACUAUUUUUUUAUAUUUUCGAAAAUUUCAAAUAUCAUACUAAAAUUUUUUGUUUAUUUUUACAGGGCGAUCGAAUCCAUGCCACAAUUAAUACUUCAUCACUACAGCAAAUUAAGCCACUCCUCACAGAAGGACAUGUUUAUGCAAUCAAGGAUUUUGUUAUCACCAACAACACCAUGAAAUACAAAACCACAGAGUCACAAUAUAAGCUUUUAUUGUUCAAGCACACAAGAGUUGUAGAACUCGAUGAUGAUACAUUCCCAAAUCACACAUUCAACAUCAAGAAUUUUGGAGAAAUUUCUUCUAUUUCUGACGUCCAGAAUGUGGUCAUGUUUGGUAAAAACUUUUCAGUCAUUUUAUUUUAAUUAUUAUCAUCUUAUGAAUUUUAAUUUCAAAUUUAUAUUGUAGAUAUCAUGGGAAUCGUAGUUUCAAGUUAUCAGCCAAUAAUCAAAGAUUUCAAUGGACAGCAAACAAAGCUUAUGGAUAUCAUCAUAGAAGAUUUGGAGUAAUAUUUAUUAUACUUUCAAUUAUGUUAAUUGCAUAAAUAAAAUACCUCAAUAUA